CAGGAUCAAGCUUCACUGUGCCCCUAAAGCAUGAGUUGAAGGAAUCAGAUAACCUGAAAUGGUUCAAGGACGCAAGUGUAGUCUUUAGUCGCAGACGGAAACUGGUGAUCUCAGGGAAAAAUGAUGAUGUUGAUUCAACUGGAUCACUAAAGCUGACAAAACUGACCAAAGACAUGUCAGGACGAUACAGACCAGAGGUUUACAGUGCAGAUGGAGUAAAUGUGGGGAAAAAUUUACAGAGUGUGCAUUUGUGUGUAUUAGACCGUGUGCAGAAGCCCACUGUGACGACAAAGACGUGUACAGAUAAUGGACAUGUCCAUUUUACUUGCAGUGUUGGUCAGAAUGAGACGAUCACAUGGUUAAUGGAUGGUGAAAUGUUGGAAGAAAAAGGGAAGACGCUGACCAGAGUAGCCAAAGAUGUGCUAAACGCUAAUUUCUCUUGCAAUGUUUCCAACCCGGUGAGCUCUGAGGUCAGUCCGCCUGUUCAACAAAACUGCUAU